rnacentral:tRNA from 1 species
GGGUGAUUAGCUCAGUGGUAGAGCAUCUCGGUCACAUCGAGGGGGGCGACAGUUCAAACCUGUCAUCACCUACCA